rnacentral:lncRNA from 1 species
AAGAAUCUAAAAAUAUUUAAAAUUCAUAAUUUAUUUUCUAAAAUUAUAAAAAAUGAAAUUAUAAUUGUAAUAGGCCAUUUUAACCCGGGCUCAAAUACUUAAACUUUAAAAUAAAAUACAAUAAAUUACAGACCCAGUUUUAAACCCAAUAUAAAGCCCAACUAAGCCUAAAGCCCAGAUUAUAUCAAACCCAAACUCAUUGCAAGCCCAAGUCGCUAACCCAAAUCCCAGCCUAACCCUAAGCAGUGGCAAACAGCAGAUUGGCGCCGCACGCCUCCUGCACGUCGCCCCGCAUGUCACGCACGUUGUCCCGCAACGCUCGUCCCACCUGCAAACCAUGAACAACGGGAUAUACACGCAGUAAAACUGGUAAAAGGAUUCGGCUAUAUGAAGGGAAUUGAUUUUUUGUAACUGGGAGAUAAAUUUGGGUAUUAAAAAAUUAAAGAAAAUAAAAGAAAAUAGAAAGCAAGGAUUUUAGAGGUGUUUUGAUUUUUCUUUUGUUUUUUCUCUGUUCUUUUUACCUUUUUAUAUUUUAUUUUGUUUUUCUUGCACUUCUUAAAACAAAAAUAAACGAAAAAGGAGAAAGAAAGGAGGACUUACCGUCGUGAGAGUCGUCGGAGGGCGUCCUCCCUUCGUCGGAGUCUGAAAUGGCAGAGGGGGAGAGGAGUUGCGGCGCAAUUUCAAGUUGGCAGAAGGAAUAAUGAUUUUAGGGUUUCAAAAGGGGUUUUUAUUGAGGGUUUAAACGGCGCCAUUUAAGCCUUUAACCCGUGUGACCCAACCCGCGCAUGUAGGAUCCGCGCAUUUCUCUCAAAUGGACAAUUUGCGCGAUCAGUCCUCCGCUUUUAUAACAUGCUUAAAUUGAUUCUUUCAUGUUUUCUUAAAUGUGGCCGCAUUUUCCAUUGUUUAUUUUUAAUUUGGUCCAGGCUCGCUGUUGUUUUGGAAGGCUUGGAAUAUUUCCGAAUUGAUCCUCUAUGUUAUGCGCAUUUUACAAAUUUGCUCUCUGUUUAAAUUUAUUUAUUAUUAUUUUUCUCUUCAAUUUUGUUUUGAUUACAAUUUAAAUUUUAGUAUUUGUUUUACUAAUUAAGUUUAAUAAUAGUUUGUUUUAUUAUUAUCAUUAUAAUUAGUAUUAUCAUUAUUAUAUUUACACAUGCAUACGCACUUUAUAAUAUAUAUGUAUAUAUUUUAAAUGUUUUUAUAUUCAUAUAUAUAUUUUAUGUAUAUUUUGUUAUAUUUUAUUUUCAUAGUUUUUUUUAUACAUAUAUAUACGCAUAUAUUUAUAUUUUAUAAUAUUCAUAUAGUUUUUCAUAAUUUAUAAUUCAAAUAUAUAUACAUUUUUUAUAAUAUAUAUAUACACACACUUUUCCAAAUUAUUAUAAAUAUAUUUUCUGCAUUUUUCUUAUAUAUACAUAUAUAUACACAUUUUCAUAAUUUAUUAAUAUAUUUUACUUGUAUAUUUUUAUACCUAUACAUAUUUUAUUAUUAUUUUAUUAUUUUAUUUUCAUAGUUUUAUAUAUAUGUGUAUAUACGUUUAUAAUAUUUAUAUGUUUUCCCGUAUUAUAUAAUUAAAUCAUGUUUAUAUAUUUUAUAUAAUAUAUACAUAUUUUGUAAAUAUAUAUACAUAUAAUUUAAAUUAAAAUAUUUGUUUCAUAUUACAUCAACAUUUUUUAACAUAUCUUUUAGAAUAUAUAUAUUUUGAUUUCGUCAAAACUUUAAAAUCAUUUUCUUUUGAUUCAAAGGCUUUUAACAUAUCCCUAGGUAGAACUAUGCCAAACCCCUAGAGGUCACCUGAGUAGGUAAUCUAUUUGUUUUCUUGUUUGCUUUUUGUUUUGUACUAACCCGUUUUGUUUUGUUUUUAUUAUGAUUGCAUUGUAUUUGCAUCUUAGAAAAGAGAUGUUGAUUCAAGUUCGAUUACUAACUUAGAAAGUUUAUCAUGGAAAAUGGGUUUCUUGAUAAAGUGGAAGAUAAUACGGCUGCCUGAAUAUAUUCUGAGAAAUGCAAGAAGGGUAAUGGAGGAAUACAUGACUUUACUUCAUGCCUCAAGGUCAAGCUGAUUAUUCAAGAGUUUCUGACAUUCCAACUUCCUUAAAGAUGCUGAGGAGCAUUACGGGGAUGGGCAUACGAUGGAUCAUAACCAAGAUCAAGCAAAAGGGAGGUAGAGGAGAUACCCCUUUUGAAGAACUUGCGGGAUUUAUCUUAAACAUCCGGAUGAAGAAGGAGGUCGAUGUUUCUUAAAGUAUGAGAGCGAUGUCGUAUAUGCAUCCGUUUUAUGUAAAGAAGUUUGUUUUCUAGUUAAGUUUUCUAAAUGGAAUUGAAUCAGAAUCAACGUCUCUUUUUACAUUCAUUUCAUGCAUUCGCAUUACAUGACAUCAUAUGCAUUAAAAUCCAUUAAAAAAGCUUAAUAGAGUAAAAUUAUUUCAGUUAAUUUGGAAAACCAACACUCUCACGGCACCCAAGCAAAGACUAGAGAAAUGGACCAAAGUUUGGAGAAAUUAGAGCAAAUGCAAGUGCAAAUGCAGGAGCAACUGACCAAAUUUCAGCAAGAUAUGAGAAAUCAGUUGUUAGAAUUCCAAAGAUAUAUAAUGUGCCAGUUAACCCAGUUAUUGGCUAAAGGGUUAGAAAGAGGAAAGACCCCAGCGGUCCACUUUGGGGAUAAUAAUGAGGACUCUACAUAUCCUUCAGGCUUCACCCCAACAAAUACCCAAGCACAACCAAAUGCAUAUCCACAAAGGGUAAUUGUUAACAUCCGACCCCAAUAUCAGACCAGCACCUCGGCACCGGUGAAUUUCUAGAUUGGCUCAGGUUCCAACUCGAUAGGCAAUUCAACUAAUCCUGUUGUCAUUGAUGAUCAAGCAGAAAUAGAACAGGUGAGGGUGGAGUUCCUAAAACAGUUUGAAGAUCGUUACAAACGGAAGGGGCAAGAGUGGAACUCUCAAAUCAAUACUUUAAAGGCCCCAGGGAAUAAGGGGAAUAAGGGGGAUAAUGUAGGUAGAUAUAAAAAGAGUCACUCAAAACCAAUCAUUGUGGGCCGACCAAAGACAGAAAUCACUAGCCAUCAGAGCCCUUUAAAGCGAGAAUUUUACACGAAGACAACUACAGAAGGACUUCAGUUCACGCCUAUACCGAUGUCAUAUAGCGAGCUGUAUCAAAGCCUAUUUAAUACACAUGUGGUGUCUCCCUUCUAUUUGAAACCAAUGUUGCCCCCAUUUCCUAAAUGGUAUAAUGCAAAUGCUCAGUGUGAAUACCAUACAGGAAUUGUGGGGCAUUCGAUAGAAAAUUGCACCGCUUUCAAGAAAUUGGUUGAAAGGCUCAUCAAUAUGGACAUUGUCAGAUUUGAGGAUUCAUCAAGUGCAAGAAAUUCGCUACCCAAUCAUAUUGAUAAUGGGGUGAAUGCGAUGUAUGAAAAAGUGUAGGAGAACGUUCACAUCAAUGCCAUACAUGAAGACACAAUUGAAAAUGGACCUUAUUAGAUAUUCAUCCUUAUAAACUUGGGAGUGUCCUAAAUAAUUACACUGCAAAAGAAAUCUCUGUAGUAUUUAGGACUUAUUUAGAGUAAUGUUCAAAACACACUUGCUGCUUUUAGCCUAGAGGCAAUAAGAAUUCCUUUGUGAAAUAGGCUCAUGUCUGAAUGUCGUUAUUUUAAUAAAAUGCAUCCUUGCGAUCAUUUUUGAACCAAUAUUCUUUCGGUCUUUUUGAAUAAUUAUUCUUUCAUUCUUUUAGAUUUUCUUCCACAUCAUUCAUUCAUUCAUAAUCAUAUUGUAUAAAUAAUUGUUCAUAAAUUUAUACAUUUCUUUUGUAUUUAUUAUGGGUCCCCAUAUAUCAAUGACGUGAGUGACUCUGCUACAGAUUCAGAAUCCUCUUUUGAGUAAAACAUGUGUUUGGAAGGAUUUCAUGACUUUGGAAAUGACAUAGACUGUAGCCUAUCUCCGGACUUGUUGAGGAUGGUAGAGCAAGAAGAGAACAAAUUUACCUCAUGAGGAGACAGUGGAUGUCGUGACCUUGACGGAAUAUACAUAACCAGAGAAACGAAGCAAAACCAUGUUAAGUUACUUCAAGAGUUCAAAGAUGUCUUCGUAUGGUUAUACCAGGAUACGCCCAAGAUAAGCACUAAUAUUGUAAUCUGAGCAAUAGCACAAUGUUAACAAUUUGCAGUAUGUUCAAGAUUCACAUCAUGAAUGAUGCAGUUAGACUUCUUUACCGGGGCAAUACCUUCUUUUCUGGCUAAUCCCGUUGAAGUCAAGUUGUCAUUUUUUCGUAUUUUUGUUGGAUUUCAUCCUAAUUGAAGAGGAAGAUCUAAAAUUUUCUCGUCAUAGUUAAAUUUUGCCCCAAAAGGCUCUAUGAGAGAAACCUGAUACCAAAGAAAAUCUUUCGCAUACAAAAUAAAAGUGGAAGAUCUUAUAGGGAAGACCUUAUCUGGAAUAAUAUUGAUUCUGAUCGAAAAGGAUAAUCAGGACUUGCCUAAUACUAUGAGUGCAGAUUCAAUGUAAAAAGAAAAAAGAAAAAAACCUCUAUCAGGGCAAUGUCUUUUUCUUUAGCUUAUCGUAGUUUUUCAAUUGAAGUUAAAAUUUUUUUCUCUUCGGGUAUUGGUUGAGCUGAAAUAGGAUGAAGAUCCAAUCUCGAUAAGAUCAGUUGAACUUAAUUGAAGGAAAUAGGCUAAAAGCUAUUCGUCAUGGCCAGAUGUACCAAGAAUGGAUGAUGCGAACUUAUAACAAAAAAGGGGUUCGUCCCAGAGAAUUCCACGAGAGAGACCUAGUAUUGAAGAAGAUCCUUCCUCUACAAAAGGAUUUUAGAGAAAAAUGAGUGCCAAAUUGGGAAUGUCCUUAUGUUGUAUAGAAGACAGUUUCUGGAGGAGCACUGAUUUUGAGUAAGAUGGAUAGUAAAAAACUUGUCUAAUCCUAUAAACUCAGAUUCAGUCAAGAAGUGCUUCACUUAAAGAAUGAGAGGACCAAAGUAAAAACCCGCAAAGGGCACUUUGAGUUGAAAAAAAAGAGGAAAAAUAAAAGAAGAAGAAGAGAAGAAAAAAUGUAACAACCCGGUUUUGACUCUAAUCGGACAUAGUGGUUUCAGGACCACAAGUCCGAGUCAUAAAAAUAUUUUAAUAUUAUUUUGUGUGUUUAUUUUGUGUGCAUUUGAUUGUGUGAAAUUUUCGUGUUUUAAUUUCGUCGUCUAAGUGUCCGAUUUAAUAAAAUGGCUUAAUCGCGUAAAAUGAAAAUUUAAGGGUUAAUUAUAAAAGCACCUAAUUGUUGUUGUCUUUAUAACUUAGAGGUUUUAUUAUGCAAAUAGUCCACUAUGUAAGUUAGUGGGUGGCAAAGGACUAAUGUAACCUUAUUAUAUAUGUCAUAUAUAUAUAAAGGUUAAUAUAGUAAAUUAAAAAUAAGGCUAAUAUAUGCUUAAUAUAACAAAUUAAAAGGGCCAUGCAUGUUCAUCUUUUGGCCGAAUAUUGAAGAGAAAAAGAACCAUUUGAAAGCUUUAAAGAUUCGGCACUUUGAAGCUCAAAUUGAGAUCAAGAAACGAAGAAAACGAAUUUGGAUCGGGGAAAAACGAAAGUAAUCGAAUAGUCGAUCGUGUCUGCUAAUAUCCAAGGUAAGUCUAUCAGCUAUUUAAUGUUAUCAAAUCAAUAUAUAUGUAUGUAUAUCUAUUAUGUUUGUUGUUGAGCUAUAAUUAAAAGUAAUUUAAUUGAAUAAAUUCAAAUUAUAAAUGGUAUAAAUAUGUAUAUACAAUGUUCGAAUAUAUAGGUAUAUGCUUAUAUAAAUAUUUGAAUUAAGUUAAAGUAUGAAUGGUGUAAAGGUAUAUAUAUAUAUUCAAAUAAUUAUAUAUGUAUCUAUAUGUAUAUAUACUUGAAUUUGGUUGGUUGUAUGAGAGUUAUAUAUUUAUGUGCACAUAAGUUUCGAACAUAUAUAUAUGUAGGUAAAAACAUUUGGGUUUGAUUAUAGGUAUGUAUGUUGUAAUUGUACAGAUAAGUUCGAAUAAGUAGGUAUAUGGGAGUUGGAACAUCCAUAUAUAUAUGAAUAGGUCUUGAUUAUAUUUUAAGGUAUAAAUGUUAAAUACGUACUUGGGAGUUCGAAUAUAUCUAAAUGUAUAUUCGUGUACAGAUUCUUGAAUUGAAUUGAAUGUAUGAUUUGCAAACUCUUUUGUGAUUGAAUAUGGACUACAAUGAAUGUGUGUUUGCUAUUAAUAAGUAUUUGAGGAAAUUAUUAUGUAUAUGGGAAAAUUGAGAUUUUCAGGCUUAGCGCUUAGCAGGCUUAUUGCCGGUAAAACACUUCAGACUAAAUGUCUAGCAGGCUUAAUGCCGGUGAAAUAUUUCAGACUAUAUGUCUAGCAGGCUAAGUGCCGGUGUACUGAAUCAGGCUUUAAGCCUAGCAGGCUAAAUGCCGGUGAAUCUGUUUUUAAGCAUGUGAUUAAGUGUACAAUUAUAUGAUUUUGGAUAUAUUUAAUUGAUAAGUAUAUUUAUAUAUACAUUCGGCUAAGUGCGUUUGAUGAUUAUAUAUAUAUUCGGUUUAUGCAAUUGUAAAAUAUAUAUAUGCUUUGGGAUUUUGCAUUUGAUAAAUAUAUACUUAUAAAUAUUUGGUACGCAUACUUGAUUAGUAACUACAUAUGCAUUCGAGAUAUAUAUAUUUUUGUUUAUAAGUAUUUGAUGAAAAUGAAUGCAUUCGUUCAUAUGUAUUAGAUUUGUAUUGGUUUAAAGUUUAUCAUGAGUAUACAUACACAUUCGGUUAUGAUAUGUGUAUAAUAUAUAUAUGAUCGGUUGUAUACAUUCGGUUGUAAUGUUGUUUGGUAUAAAUAAAUAUUCAAUUGAUCGCAUUCGACAGGCAUACAUAUCUGAAUAUAAAUAAAAUGGUCUGAGUACAAUAAUGUAUAAAAAAUUAGUUAUUCGUGUUAAUUGAAAUCUCAGUGAAAUAGAUUAAAAGGUUAUAUAUAUUUAUAUACAUUUAGUUAUGCUGUAAACUUACUAAGCUAUAAAAGCUUACUUUGUUUGUUUUCGUCCAUUUGAUUUUAUAGAUUUUGGAGACGCGUUACGAGCUCGGGGAUCAUCAGCAUAGUCCAUCACACUAUCGACUUCUUUUAUUAUUUUGUUAAAUAUUUGAACUUAAUCUUAUGGCAUGUAUAGGUUUGAGUACGAUGUUAAUUACAUUUUGAUUGUAAAUUAUAAUAGCUAUGCGAAAGUAAUUAAAUUUUCAUGUUGUGAUCAAUUUGGUUUUAGAAAUGGUUGUGUUUGUUCGGUAAUGCCUCGUAACCCUAAUUCGGCGACGGAGACGGGUUAGGGGUGUUACAUUUUAUUGGUAUCAGAGCUACGGUUUAGUCGAUUCUUGGACUAACGUAGCAUGUAUGAGUCUAGCUAUACAUGCCAUAUUUUUAUAUCGAGAUAAUGUGAUGACUGCUAAUGUCUAAAAAUGUGUUUUCGUAUAGUAAUGGAUCCCGAUCGAGCCGUAGCCGAUGAUGUUGAGAGUAUAGCGCCUGCUCCCACACAAGGGACAGAGCCGGUAGAUUCUCGACCGACCUCGAGUAACCAGGAGGGAGAGGCUAAACAAGCUUUCUACCAAAUGAUGAAUGACUGGUUUACUCAAUAUGUCUGAACUAAUCCGGUUGCACAACAACCUCCACCCCCGACUAAUCCACCUUCGAUUCCUAUUAUACCCCAAGUAAGUGAUCCAAUGAGAUUACUUAAGCCUCCGGUUGACAAAAUUUGAAAACACGUGGCCGAAGAGUUCAGAGCUACUGAUGAUGAUGAUGCUGAGCGAGCUGAAUUCUGGCUUGAUAAUACUAUUCGAGUGUUUGAUGAGUUAUCUUGCACCUCUGAUGAGUGCUUAAAAUGUGCCAUAUCUUUGCUACGGGACACUGCAUAUCACUGGUGGAAUACACUAGUAUCGUUGGUUCCGAAAGAGCGAGUGACCUGGGAAUUCUUUCAGAUUGAGUUCCGUAAGAAAUACAUCAGCCAGAGAUUCAUUGAUCAGAAGCGUAAGGAAUUUCUUGAAUUGAAACAAGGUCGUAUGACAGUGACAGAAUAUGAGCGAAAAUUUGUGAGACUCAGUAGAUAUGCUCGAGAAUGUAUUUCGACUGAAGCUAUCAUGUGUAAAAGAUUUGAAGAUGGGCUGAAUGAAGAUAUUAAACUAUUAGUUGGUAUACUUGAGAUAAAAGAGUUCGUAGUACUUGUUGAACGAGCUUGUAAAGCUGAGGAGCUCGGGAAAAAGAAGAGGAAAGCUGACUAUGAAGCUCGAGAUUCUCGUAAAAGAUCAUUCAGUAAAUCAUUUCAGUCGACCUCAAGGAAAUCCAGAGAGGAUCAUAACCGAUCUAAAGCUACUGCAGGGUUUCCUAAGUAUGAUCGAGAUCGACCCCCUGUGAGUUCACGAGCUACUUCAGUUGUUAGCGUUGGUAGUGUUCGACAAAAUAGAUCAGAGUGCAAGCAUUGUGGGAAAUGGCAUCCUGGAGAUUGCAGAUUACAUGAUCAGUCUUGCUUUAAGUGCGGUUCGAAGGAUCAUUUCAUUUGAGAGUGUCCGAUAGUAGCUGAGCAAAACAUCGUGCAGAAUACCAGACCGAGUAAUGUGCCAGUACGAGGUAGACCGCCGAGGUAAUUGAGUAAUGUAAGUGGCAGUCAGAGAGGAACAAAGGACACAGCAGUUCGAUUUGAGGCUCGUGCACCUGCCAGAGCAUAUGCUAUCCGUGCUCGGGAGGAGGCUUCUUCUCUAGAUGUUAUUACUGGUACUUUCACUCUUUAUGAUACUAACGUCAUUGCAUUGAUUGAUCCUGGUUCGACUCAUUCUUAUGUGUGUGAGACUUUAGUAUUCAGUAAGACUUUGCCUAUUGAGUCUACUGAGUUUGUAAUUAAAGUAUCGAACCCCCUGGGCCGGUGUGUUUUGGUUGACAAAGUGUGCAAGAAUUGUCUGUUGAUGAUUCGAGAUUUAUGUUUUCUGGCUGAUUUGAUGUUGUUACCAUUCGACGAGUUUGAUAUAAUUCUGGGUAUGGAUUGGUUAACUCUGCAUGAUGCUAUAGUAAACUACAAACAGAAAACUAUUGAUCUACGGUGUCAGAAUAAUAAGAUUAUUCGGAUUGAAUCUAAUGAUCUGAAUGGUUUACCAGCAAUAAUAUCCUCGAUGUCGGCUCAGAAGUAUGUAAGAAAAGGUUGUGAAGCUUACCUUGCAUUUGUUCUCGAUAGUAAAGUGACCGAAAAGAAGAUUGAAUCUGUGCCAGUAGUGUGUAAGUAUUCAGACGUGUUUUCUGAAGAAUUACCGGGUUUGCCACCUAUUCGAGAGGUAGAGUUUGGUAUUGAGUUAGUACCAGGGACGACUCCAAUCUCGAUAGCUCCGUACCGUAUAACACCUACCGAAUUAAAAGAAUUGAAAGUACAGUUGCAAGAGUUGACUGAUAAAGGUUUUGCACGACCGAGUUUCUCUCCUUGGGGUGAACCAGUUCUAUUUGUGAGAAAGAAAGACGGAAUGAUGAUAAUGUGCAUUGAUUACCGACAACUCAAUAAGGUGACUAUAAAGAAUAAGUAUCCGUUACCACGGAUUGAUGAUUUGUUCGAUCAGUUGAAAGGGGCUGCUGUGUUUUCGAAGAUAGAUCUGAGAUCAGGCUACUAUCAGUUGCCAGUUAAAGACUCUGAUGUGCCAAAGACUGCUUUCCGAACGAGGUACGGACAUUAUGAGUUUUUUGUUAUGCCUUUCGGACUUACUAAUGCACCUGCUAUUUUCAUGGAUUUGAUGAAUCGGAUCUUUAGGAAGUAUCUGGAUCGGUUUGUGGUAGUAUUUAUUGAUGACAUUUUGAUCUACUCUCGUGAUGAAAAUGAGAAUGCUGAACAUCUGAGAUUUGUGUUACAAACUUUGCGAGAUAAGCAGUUGUAUGCAAAGUUUAGUAAAUGUGAGUUCUGGUUACGUGAAGUCAGUUUUCUGGGCCAUGUUGUAUCAGCAUCGGGUAUUCGGGUUGAUCCGAGUAAAAUUUCAGCUAUACUUGAUUGGAAACCUCCAAGGAAUAUUUCGGAAGUUCGAAGCUUUCUGGGGAUUGCUGGCUAUUAUAGACGUUUUGCAAAAGAGUUCUCUAUGAUUGCGACCCCGAUGACAAAGCUACUACAAAAAGACGUUAAGUUUGAGUGGUCAAAAAAGUGUCAGAAAAGCUUUGAUCAGUUGAAAGUUCUUUUGACCGAAGCUCCAGUUCUAGUUCAACCCGAAUCGGGUAAAGAAUUUGUUAUCUAUAGUGAUGCAUCUUUAAAUGGUUUGGGCUGUGUUUUGAUGCGGAAAGGUAAAGUUGUAGCCUAUGCCUCGAGACAGUUAACCGCAUGAAAAGAACUAUCCGACACAUGAUCUGGAAUUGGCCGCUAUUGUAUUUGCGUUAAAAAUAUGGCGUCACUAUCUGUUUGGCGAAAGAUGUCAUGUUUAUUCCGAUCACAAAAGCCUGAAAUAUUUGAUGACUCAGAAAGAUCUGAAUUUGAGACAGCGUCGAUGGUUAGAAUUGCUGAAAGAUUACUAGCUUGUGAUUGACUAUCAUCCGGGAAAGGCUAAUGUUGUUGCUGAUGCCCUAAGUCGAAAAUCACUGUUUGCUUUGAGUGCAAUGAACGCACAUAUGGUUAUGUCUGAUGAUGGUGCUAUAGUAGCUGAGUUGAAAGCAAAACCGUUAUUUGUUCAACAGAUUUGUGAAGCCCAGAAGGUCGAUAAUGAUUUACUUGCAAAACGAGCUCAGUGUGACUUAAAUGUUGAUUCAGAAUUUCUAGUUGAUGCUGAGGAUUGUUUGAGAUUCAGAAAUCGAUUAUGUGUUCUGAUAAAUUCAAAUUUAAUACAGAUGAUUUUGAAUGAAGCUCAUAAUAGCCGAUUUUCUGUUCAUUCGGGAAGUACAAAAAUGUAUAACGAUCUGAAACAGCACUAUUGGUGGCAUGGUAUGAAACGAGACAUUUCUGACUUUGUUUCGAAAUGUUUAAUUUGUCAGCAAGUUAAAGCCGAGCAUCAGGUACCAUCUGGGUUGCUUCAGCCGAUCAUGAUACCUGAAUGGAAAUGGGACAGAGUUACAAUGGAUUUUGUAUCCGGUUUACCGUUAACAUCCAGCAAGAAAGAUGCAAUUUGGGUUGUUGUUGAUAGAUUGACAAAAUCGGCUCACUUUGUUCCGAUUCGUAUUGAUUAUUCACUUGAUAAACUUGCGGAAUUGUACAUUUCUCAGAUUGUGAGAUUGCACGGAGUGCCUAUUUCUAUUAUUUCAGACAGAGACCCGAUAUUUACAUCACGGUUUUGGAAGAAAUUACAAGAUGCUUUAGGUACGAAACUACAUUUUAGCACAGCUUUUCAUCCGCAAACAGAUGGUCAAUCUGAGCGAAUCAUUCAGAUACUUGAGGACAUGUUGAGAUGUUGCAUUCUCGAGUUUGAAGGUACGUGGGAACGAUAUUUAUCUUUGAUUGAAUUUGCUUAUAAUAACAGCUUUCAAUCUAGUAUCAAAAUGGCACCUUUUGAGGCUUUGUACGGUCGUAAAUGUCGUACACCACUGUAUUAGACCGAGCUCAGUGAAAAUAAGAUACACGGGGUUGAUUUGAUUAAAGAGACCGAACAAAAAGUGAAAGUGAUUCGGGACAGUCUGAAAUCAACAUCGGAUCGUCAAAAAUCUUAUGCGGAUUUGAAAAGAAAGGAUAUAGAAUUUCAGAUCGGGGAUAAAGUGUUUUUAAAAGUCUCAUCGUGGAAGAAAAUACUCAGAUUCGGUCGUAAAGGCAAAUUAAGUGUACAAUUAUAUGAUUUUGGAUAUAUUUAAUUGAUAAGUAUAUUUAUAUAUACAUUCGGCUAAGUGCGUUUGAUGAUUAUAUAUAUAUUCGGUUUAUGCAAUUGUAAAAUAUAUAUAUGCUUUGGGAUUUUGCAUUUGAUAAAUAUAUACUUAUAAAUAUUUGGUACGCAUACUUGAUUAGUAACUACAUAUGCAUUCGAGAUAUAUAUAUUUUUGUUUAUAAGUAUUUGAUGAAACUGAAUGCAUUCGUUCAUAUGUAUUAGAUUUGUAUUGGUUUAAAGUUUAUCAUGAGUAUACAUACACAUUCGGUUAUGAUAUGUGUAUAAUAUAUAUAUGAUUGGUUGUAUACAUUCGGUUGUAAUGUUGUUUGGUAUAAAUAAAUAUUCAAUUGAUCGCAUUCGACAGGCAUACAUAUUGAAUAUAAAUAAAAUGGUCUGAGUACAAUAAUGUAUAAAAAAUUAGUUAUUCGUGUUAAUUGAAAUCUCAGUGAAAUAGAUUAAAAGGUUAUAUAUAUAUUUAUAUACAUUUAGUUAUGCUGUAAACUUACUAAGCUAUAAAAGCUUACUUUGUUUGUUUUUGUCCAUUUGAUUUUAUAGAUUUUGGAGACGCGUUACGAGCUCGGGGAUCAUCAGCAUAGUCCAUCACACUAUCAACUUCUUUUGGUAUUUUGUUAAAUAUUUGAACUUAAUCUUAUGGCAUGUAUAGGUUUGAGUACGAUGUUAAUUACAUUUUGAUUGUAAAUUAUAAUAUCUAUGCGAAAGUAAUUAAAUUUUCAUGUUGUGAUCAGUUUGGUUUUAGAAAUGGUUGUGUUUGUUCGGUAAUGCCUCGUAACCCUAAUUCAGCGACGGAGACGGGUUAGGGGUGUUACAAAAAAGAUGUGAAAAAAUGAAAAGGAAAAAUGAAAAAUGGAAAAAGUAAAAAUGGAGAGGCUAAGGUGAAAACCUGCAAAGGGCACCUUAGACCAAAGGGGAUUUGAGUUGAAAACCCGAAAAGGGCAGCUCAAAUUUUGAUCAGAAUAGGGCUGGAAGUGAUCAGAGUGGCUCAGAUUUUGAUUGGAAUGGGGCAUGUGGUGGUCUUGAUAUACCUGAAUCAGUAGGAAAGGGUAUGCGACAUCUUAGGGCAUCGACAGAGUAUUGUAGAUAUCCUAAACACAUGUCAAACUCAGAAUAGUGUUUAGGAAAUUUGUACAGAGAAGUUCAAGCUGCGUUAUCUGGGGCACCUAGUCUUCAUACUAUUGUCUGUUCUUGGAAUACUUCAUUCUUUUUUAAGAUACGAUUCAAUUCCUCUUGUAUUCUUAAUAUUUAUGAUAAUAUGUUCAUUUCAAGCUAUGUUCUCAAACCAAUUCUAUUUUAUCUUUUAUUUUGUUCUUUUUGCAAACGUGUUGCCUUAAAAUAAUGAUCAAUGGACUAAUAAAACUUUCGUAAGGGAAGUUUUGCAUAUUACUGUAGAAGUUUCUAAAUAAUACAGUAACCUAAAACAGGACUAUUGUUUAGAACGCACCAAGUUUAAAGGUUGAAAUAACUGAGAAGGAAAGGUCUAAAUUGAGACUAUCCCUUCAGAUUUUGUUGUCAUAACAUUGAUUGAACAAAGUGACAAGAUGUCUUGUUGGUGAAAAAGCGUCAAUGAACAAGCAAGCAAUGAUCACCUUGUAAUAAAAAGAGGUUUCCUCGGAGAAAAAAAUUCUUCAUUUGUGCAUAGGCAUUUGGUAUGACACCUUUAGAACGGUAUAAAGGACCAAAGUGCUUCACCUUGCGAUAAGAGAAGAUUGAGAGGCCAGAUUUUUUUCUACCCUUGGGUUACAGCGGAAGAAAAAUGGUACCAAUGUUGUAUCCCAGUAGAUUGAACUUUGAAGUUUACAGUGGGGGAAAUCUGAUCAAGUGUUUCUUUAGAGAGGCUAGCUGAGCAAGAGGACGUUGUAGCACGUCAGUGAUACGGUCUUAAUAAACUUUGAGUAAUGACUGCCUAAGCGGGAUCAUUCUCGGAAAAAAUGACAUUUUGCAAUUAUCAAGCGUCAUUCAUACAUGCCUAGUUAGGAGCAUUUGAUUCAUUCUGAUCAUGAUAUCCUAAUCACUAGGCAUAAUUAGGUUCAUAAGUUGAAUUAUACAGGUCAUGUUCUUCCGAGGACAAACCGGUGAAACUUUAGCCUUGCCUUCCUGAGUUUGCAGCGGAGCAGACUGAAGAUAGCAGAUCUUGCCUUCCUAUACUGACAGAGAAGCAGAUCGAAGAUACCAGCCUUGUCUCCCUGGGCAGUAGUGAAGUAGGUUGAAAAUGACAGAUCUUGCCUUCCUGUACUGACAGCGAAGCAGAUCGAAGAUACCAGCCUUGUCUCCCUGGGUAGUAGUGGAGUAGGUUGAAAAUGACAGAUAUUGCCUUCUUGUACUGACAGCGAAGCAGAUCGAAGAUACCAGCCUUAUCUCCUUGGGCAAUAGUGGAGUAGGUUGAAAAUAGCAAAUCUUGCCUUCUUGUACUGGCAGCGAAGUAGAUCGAAGACACCAGUCUUAUCACCUUGACAGCGCAAUUAAAAAGAUUGAAGCCACAACGGCGGAUCUUACUUCCCUGGCGGUGCAGUGGAGCAGAUUGAAGUCACAACGGCAGAUCUGGUUUCCCCGACAGCGCAAUUAAAAAGAUUGAAGCCACAACGGCAGAUCUUACUUCCCUGGCGGUGUAAUGGAGCAGAUUAAAGUCACAACAGCGGAUCUGGUUUCCCCGACAGCGCAAUUAAAAAGAUUGAAGCCACAACGGCAGAUCUUACUUCCCUGGCGGUGUAAUGGAGCAGAUUGAAGUCAUAACGGCAGAUCUGGUUUCGCCGAUAGCGUAAUUAAAAAGAUUGAAGCCACAAUGGCAGAUCUUACUUCCCUGGCGGUGCAGAGGAGCAGAUUGAAGUCACAACGGUAGAUCUGGUUUCCCCGACAGCGCAAUUAAAAAGAUUGAAGCCACAACGGCAGAUCUUACUUCCUUGGCGGUGUAAUGGAGCAGAUUGAAGUCACAACGGCGGAUCUGGUUUCCCCGACAACGCAAUUAAAAAAGAUUAAAGCCACAACGGCAGAUUUUUACCUCCUUAGCGGUGCAGUUGAACAGAUGGAAGCUACAACGGUGGAUCUUCUUUCCUCGACAUUGUAAUUGGAUAAAUUGAAGAAGAUAAUCCUAUCUCCCUGAAGAUGCAUUGGAGCGGAUUAACACCACGGAUCUUAUCUCUCUGAAAUUGCAGUAAAGCAGAUCGUAUCAGACUCACCUUUGAAGUUGUAGCAGAAUAAGUUGAAGCUACGAGUCUUAUCUCCCUGAAGUUACGGUGGAGCAGACUAGAGAUUGCAAGUUUUGUUCUUUUGAGAAGCUACAAAGUACAAGUCCUAUCUCCUUGAUGUUGCAGUGGAGUGGAUUGAAGUACCGAUCCCUAUACCUCUGCAAACACAGUAGAUUGGAAUAAGGUUACUUGAAGAGCGCUAAGGUCCAGUAUGCCCGGGCAAAAUUGGCCAUUUUAAAGUCUUUGCUCUGUUCCCGUUACACGACAACGAGCAAAGAGGGGUAGCUGUAAUAGGCCAUUUUAGCCCGGGCCCAAAUACAUAAACUUUAAAAUAAAAUACAAUAAAUUACAGACACAGUUUUAAACCCAAUAUAAAGCCCAACUAAGCCUAAAGCCCAGAUUACAUCAAACCCAAACCCAUUGCAAGCCCAAGUCGCUAACCCAAAUCCCAGCCUAACCCUAAGCAGUGGCAAACAGCAGAUUGGCGUCGCACGCCUCCUGCACGUCGCCCCGCAUGUCACGCACGUUAUCCCGCAACGCUCGUCCCACCUGCAAACCACAAACAACGGGAUAUACACGCAGUAAAACUGGUAAAAGGAUUCGGCUAUAUAAAGGGAAUUGAUUUUUUGUAACUGGGAGACAAAUUUGGGUAUUAAAAAAUUAAAGAAAAUAAAAGAAAAUAGAAAGCAAGGAUUUUAGAGGUGUUUUGAUUUUUCUUUUGUUUUUUCUCUGUUCUUUUUACCUUUUUAUAUUUUGUUUUGUUUUUCUUACACUUCUUAAAACAAAAAUAAACGAAAAAGGAGAAAGAAAGGAGGACUUACCGUCGUGAGAGUCGUCGGAGGGCGUCCUCGCUUCGUCGGAGUCUGAAAUGGCAGAGGGGGAGAGGAGUUGCGGCGCAAUUUCAAGUUGGCAGAAGGAAUAAUGAUUUUAGGGUUUCAAAAGGGGUUUUUAUUGAGGGUUUAAACGGCGCCAUUUAAGCCUUUAACCCGUGUGACCCAACCCGCGCAUGUAGGAUCCGCGCAUUUCUCUCAAAUGGACAAUUUGCGCGAUCGGUCCUCCGCUUUUAUAACAUGCUUAAAUUGAUUCUUUCAUGUUUUCUUAAAUGUGGCCGCAUUUUCCAUUGUUUAUUUUUAAUUUGGUCCAGGCUCGCUGUUGUUUUGGAAGGCUUGGAAUAUUUCCGAAUUGGUCCUCUAUGUUAUACGCAUUUUACAAAUUUGCUCUCUGUUUAAAUUUAUUUAUUAUUAUUUUUCUCUUCAAUUUUGUUUUGAUUACAAUUUAAAUUUUAGUAUUUGUUUUAUUAAUUAAGUUUAAUAAUAGUUUGUUUUAUUAUUAUCAUUAUAAUUUGUAUUAUCAUUAUUAUAUUUACACAUGCAUACGCACUUUAUAAUAUAUAUAUAUAUAUAUUUUAAAUGUUU